rnacentral:tRNA from 3 species
GGUUACCGUGGAUCACGAUAAUCGGCGGGUUGGCACCGCCCAAGUGGGCGUAGCGCAGCUUGAUCCGACGGUUGUUGACCAUCGGUGGCGC